GACUGUACAAAGGUAGCAUAAUCAUUUGUCUUUUAAUUGGAGGCUGGAAUGAAUGGUUGGAUGAGAAAUCGCCUUUCUUUAUAUUAUAUAAAAAAUUUGAUUUUUUAGUUAAAAAGCUAAAAUUUUUUUAUAGGACGAGAAGACCCUAUAGAGCUUUACUUUUGUGUUAUAUAAUUCUUGUAUUUUAUUAAGUAAUUAUAUAUUUUUAUUAGUUUUGUUGGGGUGAUGGAAAAAAUUAUAUAACUUUUUCUGAUUAUUACAUUUAUGCAUGUUUUUUUGAUCCUUUAUUAUGGAUAAUAAGAUUAAGCUACCUUAGGGAUAACAGCGUUAUUUUUUUGGAGAGUUCAUAUCGAUGAAAAAGUUUGCGACCUCGAUGUUGGAUUAAAAUAAGUUACGGGAGUAUAAUAUUGUAUACUAGGUCUGUUCGACCUUUAAAUUUUUACA
rnacentral:rRNA from 1 species